rnacentral:rRNA from 1 species
AGUGAACGCUGGCGGUAGGCCUAACACAUGCAAGUCGAGCGGCAGCACAGUAAGAGCUUGCUCUUACGGGUGGCGAGUGGCGGACGGGUGAGGAAUACAUCGGAAUCUACUUUUUCGUGGGGGAUAACGUAGGGAAACUUACGCUAAUACCGCAUACGACCUACGGGUGAAAGCAGGGGAUCUUCGGACCUUGCGCGAUUGAAUGAGCCGAUGUCGGAUUAGCUAGUUGGCGGGGUAAAGGCCCACCAAGGCGACGAUCCGUAGCUGGUCUGAGAGGAUGAUCAGCCACACUGGAACUGAGACACGGUCCAGACUCCUACGGGAGGCAGCAGUGGGGAAUAUUGGGCAAUGGGCGCAAGCCUGAUCCAGCCAUACCGCGUGGGUGAAGAAGGCCUUCGGGUUGUAAAGCCCUUUUGUUGGGAAAGAAAAGCAGCAGGUUAAUACCCCGCUGUUCUGACGGUACCCAAAGAAUAAGCACCGGCUAACUUCGUG